CCUGAUGACGAGCUGUUCGUCUGAAUCAGGUGUGUUUGGAGCAGGGACACAUCUAAAAAAACAUGCAGGACAGAGGACUGAAAAAAACGGUAGUGCAGAGGAAUGUGUGGUCUGACUCGACUCGGUCUCAAAACGUAAGAUGGGAACAACAACCUACGGUCUGAGAAUUGCUUACUCCACCUUUACCUGGUGGCCGUCGUGUUGGGAGAUCUGCGUGUGGGAAGGCGCCCUGGUGUUAAAACGUCUAAAUCCCAGUGGAGAAGAAGGUGCUCUCCUGUGCGGUGACGCCUCUGGUGGGGAUCCUCUGUGGUUCUCGAGGGCGCGUCAUUGGGCGAAUCCUCAGCGGGGAGAGCCUGCCCAGCGCGGCGCCACGGUGAUGAGCCUUCCCUCGUCCCUGGCAACCAGACCGGGGUUAAAUUAGGAAAGGGCUAACCCCAGAGCUGUGGCGGAGACGAGGGCGAGGUCAAACGCUCCGGUCUGCUUUGAUGAUGGUGGAGGUUGGAGAGAGAGCGCAGCAGACAGACGCUCUUCAUCUGGAGACGCCCCCACCCGAGGAGGACGGAUCAAGUGCUGCCGAUGGCAACGCUGCUCCCUCUGGGUACACGGAGAUCAAGCUAAUUCAUGUGCAUGUAGCUGGGAAGGAAAUAUAAAUAUCUGUUCAAGGCACAUCAUCAACUGGCGAGGAUACUUUCUGCCUCGGACACGCAGCUUUCAUCAUCAAAUUUUAAGCAUUAUUUAAUAUAUAUAGCCAUUAAGUGUAUAUUUAGGACCCGUCAUGUUCUUGUUCAGUCGGCUUCAAACAUUAAAAUGCAUCUGGAGAGGUUUUCAGCCAGCUCACGGAGGAUUAGCUGAGCUAGCAACAGGUGCUAAACUCUGCUAGCGAAGAUCAGAAAUGAAUCGUUUUUGAAUAACCCAGAAUUUCAUGUGGUAAAUCCCCCCCAGUUCUCAGUGUAAGGGCAGACAGGAGAGACGGCUGUAACUAACAAGAAGUCGCUGGGUUUAGUUUUAGUCUCGGACUGAGAGUGAUUUAGUCUUCUUCUCUUGGCGUUUGCCACCGCCGAGGCUGCAUGGCUUCCUGUUGUCUCUCCGCAGCCUGAAGCUUCCAGUCUAAGCCUGGACUCAGCCUGUCUACACUGCAGAGAAACAUUUAAUCUGUGCUGCAAAAACAGCUUUUCACAUGCUCAAGGCAGAAACGUGUUUGUCUAAGAAUAACAAACCGAAAAAGGGAAAUUAAAUUGUUGAACAGUCUGUGAAGUGUUUCCUCUUUCACCUCGUGUCAUGUCGAGAUAUACGAGUACGUGAAGUAUAGAAUAAGUGUAGAAGUGUAGUGAAGUAGCCAUUUUCAGGGAACUAAAUAACAAAACACAGUGCAGUAUAUAAAAGGCAGAUACAUGAGCCUCUGUAACAUCUACUCAGUACUGAACGACCUGAGAGCCGCUACUGGUCCAAGACUGGUGCUGUUAACAUCUGCUCUAAAGGGUUCUACUGAGCCCAGAAUAAUUAGUUUGACAUUAUGUUAUGUUGUUUUAACCAGAAGCAUGAUCUUUUACUAACCCUAACCAAACCGCAACCGUUUUGACAGCCAAAGUCAGUAAAUUUCACAUUAUGUAAAAAUGUUUUUUUUCCCGCAAGCUUUGUUUUCAGAGUCUAACCAGAUGUUAUGUAACAGAUGUGGUUCGGGCAACUCGAGGACUGUUUUGUAGCAUUUAUUCGCUCCUGCAGAAACAUUAUAACUCGCUAACUGCCUUCUGGUCUUUGUUUUCUGCAUCUCCGUCCCCUCGGCGAUGCAAAACGGCUUUGGAAGGAGGACAGGAGGAUCUACGGAAGCCCAGGAGGUAAAAAAGACGUGAACUACAACAAGGAAACUGCAUGGAGUGACUGAAGGCUUGUGUGAGGAAGAGGAGGAGGAGGAAGUUGUGGAUUUGUCUUUUUAAAUGUAACAUUUUCCCGAACAAAUUCAACACAUCAAAGCUGCCAUCUUAAAAAAACACAUUACAGGCCCUGUCAUUGCCUGUAGCCGGGGCCAUACUGUGAACAUAUGGUCCCAGGAGACGCUCUGAGCCUCUCUGGUGAAAAACAUCAAGAACCGAAAGUGAAAGAGAGUCAAUGGAACACCUCGGGGGCGCAAUAAAGCGAGCGAUAAAGAGACUGCAUGGUGGAGUUUGGGUUACGAACUCCAUGCCCUCGUAGGAGUCGGAUAUCAGAGCCGGAGAAACGUGGAUGAAUGUUUCAUGGAUGCAGACGGGGAGCGCGGGCCAGCUGUCGACCUGAUGUUUGCUUGUUCCCACAUGACCGUGAAUAGAUCCGACUGUGUGAUUAGGCCGCUUUCUCGCUGCCCAGUGACCCAAAAUGCUUUUCGCGGCGGAGAACACGGCGCAGAGCCGAGCGAUACUGUAAACCAUGUAGGAUAGUUCUUUGACAGCGGCAGAAAAACACUCAUUUUUUGCAAAUAUGCACACACCCAUGUUGUUGGGCUCUGUUUGGAUGGCAUGUCGGGGUGAUAAUCAUAGAGUCUGAGUUCCUCAAGCUUGAAUCCUGAGUAGUUAUUUGCCCAUCAGCAGCUGUUUGGUCGUCCAGUCAUUCAGCUAAAUACUACAACUGCUUCUUCUUCGUAGAGAAUGAAAUGACAACGGACAUGAAAACAUUUUCUCUGCUCCUCGCUGAAUAAAGAUUAUGAUGAGACAAGCAAAUUCUUACAAUUUUCGGCUGUGGUGUGUUGAAGAUGAAAUACUGGUGUGCAUCUGAAAAAGAAAGUCGACUUUGAUCGCCUCUUGCCGCCCGUCUUACCAACAUCAUCAUCAUCAUCAUCUUAACCGGUCAAAGAUGUCAUGUGGGACUGACUGUGGAUUUCUGAUUUACGCCCAGAGUUUUAUUAUAAACCUGUUUACUUCUUGUUUUGAGAAAACAUCUGUUCUUGGAUGUCUCUUCUCCAACUAGCACGGGUGGCUUUUAAUUUACCAAACCAGGAGUCACGAGGGGUCGGCUGGUGUUCAAAACGCCAUACUUGACAGCAAGAGAUGAAAAUCUGACUUAUUUUUUCAGUAUAACGGCAAAAGGACUCUUCUUCAGCCCGGAUAUGAACACAUUUAUCAUAUAUUAUUUUAAAUAAAGGUUGAAAACAAUAGGAAACUUUGCAAAGUUGAAUAGAAAUACAUGAAACAUUAGCAGUUCAGUUGUUGAAACCCAUUUUAACACCACUUGCUUUUUGAUUAUCAGCAAGGUUGCAUUGUUGUUCUGUCAUAUAACAGCAGAUAAUCUCAUAGUAAUCAUCUUCGGGACGAUGCUCAUGUAAGUCACACAUUACUGAGGAUCUUCUCUGACCAACAGCCUUCAAAAAACAGAACCGAACCGAACACCGCAGGAUCUUUUUCUCAUUUGUUUGUGGAAUUCUCGUCAUUCUUGCUCGCCGCCGCAUGGGAGGGAUACAGUGUGCAGAGGGGCUGCACUGACAAUUUCCCUCUUUUACUCAAAACUAAAUCCUUUACAGUAAAAACCUCUGCGAAUCUGCAGCGGAGCAGGUGAAAACAAACACUGAGGAUUAUUCGCAGCUUGUGUUCGGCCCCCCCGACUCUGCUGAACUCUCGACCACACGGCCUCGAAUCCUGGAUAUCCACAACA